rnacentral:misc_RNA from 1 species
GCGUGAAUGCAGGCCUCGGGACGGUCGCGCGCGGUUACGACGAGUACUGUACCGCGGGAAGUGACAUUUUUAUUUUUUUUUAUUUUAUUGUGAUUAUUUUUUUAUGUUUGUCAAAGGAGCACAGACUAAAAAUAUGUACAUCUUAUGCAGUUCAAAUUUUUUAAAAUUAAUCGUGCGAGUGAAUCACUAGAUACAGUAAGUGUGAAUUCAAUAAAAAUAUCUGGGGCGCCAAUUUACAUUCGAAGUAGGUCAUU